GUCACCUGUAAUCAUCGACACGUUUGUUAAUUACGCGUUAAACAAGUUGCGUCAACAAACGAUUGUCAGAAAAUUGGAACCGAUACUUAAAUUCGCAAAAAACAGUAACGUUGAACCUGAUAAAAAAACAAGAGAAAAAAAUUGAUGUUAGCUAUAUUGAAAUAAAAAACGAUACAUUUCAAGAUAGAACUGAAGUAUAGAUAAAUUUUCUUGUUUGUUACAAACAUCUGAAAAAGGAGAAGAAACAUAAUGGUGUAUCCGGUUAUAAAAUAAAUUCCAUCGUUCUAUAUAUCACAGGUAAAAUUUAAUAUAAAAAAUUUGCAAGAAGUCAGUCAUUACUCACUUGAGGAAUCUCGAUAAAUCACAGAAAGAAUUAACGAGCAGCGAAGACGACACCGGAUCCUUCCUCAUCCCUUCCUUCCCCUUCGUCAGUGAAAUAUAGCUGACAACUUUUCUCAUACUUGAGAGUUUUCCUUGAGAAGCAUACUCCAUUGUGGAGUAAAGGGUGGAGGCAAGGGAAAGUUAUGAAGUGGUUGGGGACGAGCGCUAUAACAUAACACCACAAGAAGGGAAAUUAUACGGUGUUGAUACCGGGAAAGGAUCGUAACCAUUACCUUUAAAUGUUUCUUUUUAUGAUACACGAAUAAAGAUUGAUUUAAAUAAUUAAUCGUACAAUCUUGGCAUGUAUUUUAAUUUAUGAAUAAACUCAUGAUUUUUCCAUUUCUAAUAAACCUAAGUAGAAAAAUAAGAUACUGUGGAUGUAUGUAAUAAUGGAUGAAUCAUUAUCUUGUAAAACAAAAAAUAAUGCAUAAAAAACUAUGGUAUCUCGCACUUAUUUAUGAAGCGUGAUUAACCAACAGGCAUA